GUUCGGAUUGCAGGCUGCAACCCGCCUGUAUGAAGUUGGAAUCGCUAGUAAUCGCGGAUCAGCAUGCCGCGGUGAAUACGUUCCCGGGCCUUGUACACACCGCCCGUCACACCAUGAGAGUCGGGAACACCCGAAGUCCGUAGUCUAACUUUCACGAGAGGACGCGGCCGAAGGUGGGUUCGAUAAUUGGGGUGAAGUCGUAACAAGGUAUC
rnacentral:rRNA from 1 species